UCUUUUUCCCUUACAAGGUUUUAUCCCACUGGGUUUUCCUUGCAAGGUUUUUAACGAGGCAACCAAUAGGCGCAUUUGUAAAUAUGUGUACUCUUUUCCCUUUUCUAGAAUUUUUUUCCCAUUGGGUUUUAUUUCAGCUAAGGUUUUAACGAGGCACAUUAUUUAUUGAGUAGACAUUCAAGGGGGAGUGUUAAGAAUAGA
rnacentral:lncRNA from 1 species